rnacentral:rRNA from 1 species
CCUACGGGUGACAGCAGUGGGGAAUAUUGGGCAAUGGGCGCAAGCCUGACCCAGCAACGCCGCGUGAAGGAAGAAGGCUUUCGGGUUGUAAACUUCUUUUAAGGGGGACGAGCAGAAGACGGUACCCCUUGAAUAAGCCACGGCUAACUACGUGCCAGCAGCCGCGGUAAUACGUAGGUGGCAAGCGUUGUCCGGAUUUACUGGGUGUAAAGGGCGUGCAGCCGGAGAGACAAGACAGAUGUGAAAUCCACGGGCUUAACCCGUGAACUGCAUUUGAAACUGUUUCCCUUGAGUGUCUGAGAGGUAAUUGGAAUUCCUUGUGUAGCGGUGAAAUGCGUAGAUAUAAGGAAGAACACCAGUGGCGAAGGCGGAUUACUGGACGAUAACUGACGGUGAGGCGCGAAAGCGUGGGGAGCAAACAGGAUUAGAUACCCUAGUAGUC